rnacentral:rRNA from 1 species
CACAAGCGUAUAUUAAUGUUGUUGCAGUUAAAAAGCUCGUAGUUGGAUAUCUGUCGUGACGGACCUGGCCCAACAGCUCUCAUGAGCUGCUGUGUGCCGGUUCUGGUGUCCGGUUGUCGCGCUCGUUGUCUGGUUGGCUGGGUUCGCUUGGUCGAUCGGGCGAGUUGUGCUCCGUGUACACUUGUUCGUCGGACAUCCUUCAGGAGAACCGUUCUGCCAUUUACUUGGUUGGGGCGAGGAUCCUGAUCGUUUACUUUGAAAAAUUAGAGUGUUUAACGCAGGCUUCAUUGUCGCGAAUAGAUUAGCAUGGAAUAAUAAGAUAGGACUUCGGCACCGCUGGUGGCUGCCAGUUGUGGCGUGGCCUUGUGUCGCGUCUGCGAUUGGACCAACAGUUGCUGGUUUCUAUUUUGUUGGUUUCUAGAGCUGAAGUAAUGAUUGAUAGGGAUAGUUGGGGGUGCUUGUAUUGCGGGGCCAGAGGUGAAAUU